rnacentral:rRNA from 1 species
GAUGAACGCUAGCGGCAGGCUUAACACAUGCAAGUCGAGGGGCAGCGAGAGUAGCAAUACUUGUCGGCGACCGGCGAAAUGGUGCGUAACACGUGAGCAACAUACCGUCCUCCGGAGGAUAACCGAAGGAAACUUUGCCUAAUACUCCAUGACAUCAUUUUACGGCAUCGUAAAAUGAUCAAAGAUUUAUCGGAAGACGAUUGGCUCGCGGGACAUUAGCUAGUUGGUCAGGUAACGGCUGACCAAGGCGACGAUGUCUAGGGGUUCUGAGAGGAAGGUCCCCCACACUGGAACUGAGACACGGUCCAGACUCCUACGGGAGGCAGCAGUGAGGAAUAUUGGACAAUGGUCGGAAGACUGAUCCAGCCAUGCCGCGUGAAGGUUACGGUCCUAUGGAUUUUAAACUUCUUUUAUGCGGGAGCAAUAAGGUGCACGUGUGCAUCGAUGAGAGUACCUCAUGAAUAAGCAUCGGCUAACUCCGUGCCAGCAGCCGCGGUAAUACGGAGGAUGCAAGCGUUAUCCGGAUUUAUUGGGUUUAAAAGGGUGCG